GACGAACGCUGGCGGCGUGCUUAACACAUGCAAGUCGAACGGAAAGGCCCUGCUUGCAGGGUACUCGAGUGGCGAACGGGUGAGUAACACGUGGGUGAUCUGCCCUGCACUUCGGGAUAAGCUUGGGAAACUGGGUCUAAUACCGGAUAGGAACCAUCUUUAGUGUGGUGGUUGGAAAGUUUUUUCGGUGUAGGAUGAGCUCGCGGCCUAUCAGCUUGUUGGUGGGGUAAUGGCCUACCAAGGCGGCGACGGGUAGCCGGCCUGAGAGGGUGUACGGCCACAUUGGGACUGAGAUACGGGCCAGACUCCUACGGGAGGCAGCAGGGGGGAAUAUUGCACAAUGGGCGCAAGCCUGAUGCAGCGACGCCGCGUGGGGGAUGAAGGCCUUCGGGUUGUAAACUCCUUUCGCUAGGGACGAAGCUUUGUUGUGACGGUACCUAGAGAAGAAGCACCGGCUAACUACGUG
rnacentral:rRNA from 1 species